rnacentral:rRNA from 1 species
CCUACGGGGGGCUGCAGUGGGGAAUAUUGGACAAUGGGCGCAAGCCUGAUCCAGCAAUGCCGCGUGUGUGAAGAAGGCCUGCGGGUUGUAAAGCACUUUGGGCGGGGAGGAAGGCCCCCGGGCGAACACCCUGGGGGAUUGACGUUACCCGCAGAACAAGCACCGGCUAACUCCGUGCCAGCAGCCGCGGUAAUACGGAGGGUGCGAGCGUUAAUCGGAGUUACUGGAGGUGACCCGGGCAUUCUCGGCUGAAAGCCCCGGGCUCAACCUGGGAACUGCGCUGGAUACUGCCGGGCUGGAGUGUGGGAGAGGGGCGUGGAAUUUCCGGUGUAGCAGUGAAAUGCGUAGAGAUCGGAAGGAACACCAGUGGCGAAGGCGGCGCCCUGGACCAACACUGACGCUGAGGUGCGAAAGCGUGGGGAGCAAACAGGAUUAGAUACCCGUGUAGUC